GAAAAAACAAAUGUGAUGCAUUUUGGAAAUAAACUCUUAAUAAUUAUUUAAAAAAUGGUCAUCUCACCUCUUAGAUUUGGUGUCAUGUUCCCCAGAGAGCCACAUUUUAGAGGCAGGGGCCCCCUCCUCUCUCUCCCCAGAGAGAUGCCUUUUAGAGGCAGGUCCCUCCUCUCUCUUCCCAGAGAGACACCUUUUAGAGGCAGGUCCCUCCUCUCUCUCCCAAGAGAGACUCAUUUUAGAGGCAGGUCCCUCCUUUUCUCUCUCCCCAGAGAGAUGCCUUUUAGAGGCAGGUCCCUCCUCUCUCUUCCCAGAGAGACACCUUUUAGAGGCAGGUCCCUCCUCUCUCUCCCCAGAGAGACUCCUUUUAGAGCACUGACCCCUAAACAGAGAUCCAACAUGUUGGAACAGUAAUUCUUGAAUGUCAAUUGUCUCAUUUAUUCAUUAUCUCUUUGAGAAAUAAAACAUUUACUAACAG
ensembl:lncRNA